GGCUCAAUGGUCUAGUAGUAUGAUUCCUGCUUCGGGUUUAUCCCUCACCGUCAUGGUGAUCAUAUGCAGGAGGUCCCGGGUUCAAUUCCCGGUUGAGCCC